UUUGCACUGGUCAAUCUAGUGGCGAACGGGUGAGUAACACGUGGGUAACCUGCCCAUCAGAGGGGGAUAACAUUCGGAAACGGAUGCUAAAACCGCAUAGGUCUUCGAACCGCAUGGUUUGAAGAGGAAAAGAGGCGCAAGCUUCUGCUGAUGGAUGGACCCGCGGUGCAUUAGCUAGUUGGUGAGGUAACGGCUCACCAAGGCCGUGAUGCAUAGCCGACCUGAGAGGGUGAUCGGCCACAUUGGGACUGAGACACGGCCCAAACUCCUACGGGAGGCAGCAGUAGGGAAUCUUCCGCAAUGGACGCAAGUCUGACGGAGCAACGCCGCGUGAGUGAAGAAGGUUUUCGGAUCGUAAAACUCUGUUGUUAGAGAAGAACAAGUGCUAGAGUAACUGUUAGCGCCUUGACGGUAUCUAACCAGAAAGCCACGGCUAACUACGUGCCAGCAGCCGCGGUAAUACGUAGGUGGCAAGCGUUGUCCGGAUUUAUUGGGCGUAAAGCGAGCGCAGGCGGUUCCUUAAGUCUGAUGUGAAAGCCCCCGGCUCAACCGGGGAGGGUCAUUGGAAACUGGGGAACUUGAGUGCAGAAGAGGAGAGUGGAAUUCCAUGUGUAGCGGUGAAAUGCGUAGAUAUAUGGAGGAACACCAGUGGCGAAGGCGACUCUCUGGUCUGUAACUGACGCUGAGGCUCGAAAGCGUGGGUAGCAAACAGGAUUAGAUACCCUGGUAGUCCACGCCGUAAACGAUGAGUGCUAAGUGUUGGAGGGUUUCCGCCCUUCAGUGCUGCAGUUAAC
rnacentral:rRNA from 1 species